rfam:Dermacoccus nishinomiyaensis strain M25, complete genome.
GGCGUGCAUGCCGCACCCCCAAGGGUAUGCACGCAUAGACAGCCCCCGUCGUCCCCCCGACGGGGGCUGUCGCUG